UGGGGAAUAUUGCACAAUGGGCGCAAGCCUGAUGCAGCCAUGCCGCGUGUAUGAAGAAGGCCUUCGGGUUGUAAAGUACUUUCAGCGGGGAGGAAGGUGUUGUGGUUAAUAACCGCAGCAAUUGACGUUACCCGCAGAAGAAGCACCGGCUAACUCCGUGCCAGCAGCCGCGGUAAUACGGAGGGAGCAAGCGUUAAUCGGAAUUACUGGGCGUAAAGCGCACGCAGGCGGUCUGUCAAGUCGGAUGUGAAAUCCCCGGGCUCAACCUGGGAACUGCAUUCGAAACUGGCAGGCUAGAGUCUUGUAGAGGGGGGUAGAAUUCCAGGUGUAGCGGUGAAAUGCGUAGAGAUCUGGAGGAAUACCGGUGGCGAAGGCGGCCCCCUGGACAAAGACUGACGCUCAGGUGCGAAAGCGUGGGGAGCAAACA
rnacentral:rRNA from 1 species